UACAACUGUGAAGAUAGAUUGUUAUGCAUCCCAGCCUGGCUCAUGGAUGAGUAACUGCAUAAAGAGUAAGAGUCAAACAGAAUACAGGAAACCAGAUGAAGAUGAGGACCAUCUGUGACAGGCACAUCACACCAAGAAGAGAGACGUAGAUAAAUAAAAACCCUAGGAAACACACAAGCUCUGCAACUUAUUUGAGAACCACUGACAUGAGGGUGCCUGUUACAGUUUAGCAUUUAGAGCUGGACUUGAACCCCACAGCUGCUAAGAACUUACCACAGAGAUUCUGGCUAACCAUCUUGCAUGCUUGCUCCUGUGUCCUUGGUACGGAUGAAGUAUGGUACUUAUCUUCUCGUCUUCUUUUUAUGAUGUAAGGUCCAAGCAAGACAGCAAAAGUGAAGACAUAUCAAAAGGCAGAAGCUUUGAAUGAAUGACACACAUUGAGUAUUACGUAAGGGGUUCAUGAGAGCAAGACAUGGACUGUGUGUCAGAAGAUCUCAUUAACACGCUGUAAAGCAGCAAUGAUAAAAGAAGCAAGGAGCUUGGCCUUCAAUCCCCAGCAAUCCAUGGAGGGAUCUUCUUUGAACUUUGUUCUGAGCCUAGUAAAGGAAAGGGGGCAGGGUAGAUGCCAUGUACUAAGUGAAGGAGCCCUUGGUCUUCUUGGAACAAGCUUCCCCUACAUCCAUGCCCUGCUCUGCCCAGAGGCCAGCAGCCCCCAUCAAAGGUAGUGGUCCCAGUCCUUUGCAUCAGCUCCUUGCCCACUAAUUACUCUUUACACACUCUGGCGCCAGGCCCUCCAACCAAAUUACAAUUGAUUCUUCACUCCUCCCAGAUCAAUGCCAUCGACCUGGAACAGAGAGGACAAAUCCAAAUUCAGCCUCUGGGAAGCAAACAGCCCAAGGCAAAGCCCAGCAAAGAGGCCUGCCCCAACACAGUGCACAUACACACACACAUACAUGGGCACUCAUGCUUGCCCAAGAUGUGCACCAACACGUGAUGAAUAUGUAUACCAACAGCUCUGUACCUCCAUUACAGGCCAUCCACGUGUAGACAAAUAUAUGGUUCAAUAUUCAUCAUGAGCACCCUCAUGUCUACCUACAUUAGAUAUCCUGAAAGCCUACAUACACAUGUCGUUAACUGGAAGAAGAGGUACUUUGGGGCCACAGGAAGCAUGCACUAGCCAAAUGGUGCACCGAUACAUCCCAGUCUGAUGCCUGGCUACCCUCCUAGUCUCAUGCUCUGGAGCAUACACUGUUCGUCGAGUCAUGGGUAGAAUGAGGCCAGCAUGCUGUGCUGACCUCCAAGCAGAAGCUUUUCUGACAGAUGUGUAGACUCUGGUCUUCCUCUUCCUGGAAUAUAUCUUGCCUGCUCAUCUCUUGGACUUAUGCCCAGCCACUUCUGCACCAGGCAGAAACAUUAUAAGUUCCAAGAUAAGAGAUCCUUGAAAAACACCUCAAGUUUUUCAAGUUGAGGAGAUCAGUAGCCAACCUUGCAGAUGCCAACUCAGGUCACCAACCACCAGCCCACUCCCAUCCAGCACAGACAUGGAACUCAAGCAUAGAGAGAAAGCCAAGUGUACUCAACACUGCCUGGGAUGUUGCCUGUGGCCUUUGACUAAACUGCUCAUGCCCUGUGAACUUUGCAACCCAUCCUUGAAAGCUGAGGAGCAUCAGAUAGCCUAAUGGAAGCUCUCACACCCUACCAGUUAUAAGUGCUUAGAAUGAAAAUGAGUUUUCUUGCCAUUCAUCAGUUCUUUGAAAACCAAAGCAAUCAAGAGCUCUCAUGGAGAAGAGACAUGGGGUUCUAACAUCCACGUGUCAUCGCUGCUACCCUGUCAUUAGUAUAGAAAACUUUGAAAGCAUUUCCAAACCACCCAGCAGCCAUAUUUCUUCUGUGAAUUUGAUUCAAUUAAUUGUACACACAAGAUCUGAACAUCAAACGGGAGAUGGAGAAAUGCUUCCUGCAGCUUGGGCAAGCUUGUGAUGGUUUUCAAGGUUGGAACAGUCUUUUAGGACACUUGUUUUCUAAGUAUCAAAAAAAGCUCACUGUAGCCUCUUGAUCUAACUGCCUAUUCCUUAAAUUCUACUGCCUUUCUCCCAUCUCCACAUCUCCAGGAAAGGGUUCUCAAUAGCCCGUGGCAGCUCUGAUUCAAAUGGGCAUAGCCCCAAUGGCAUAUGGAGCUACAGUUUCCCCAGUCCUCUGUUGUUUUGGAAGUCAGCCUCACAGUCUCACCCCUUGACCUACUUUUGUUCCAGUGAUGAUUGCUUAAGUCUGACAAUUCUGUAUCAGGCUUCUUUUUUGCUAGAGCUACCUAGGGUCUUCUCCUUCGCUGUGAACCUUGACAUACAAGGUGCAAACUGAGCUAAGAACAGUUUAUGGUGUCAGCCCCACUCAGCAGAUAUUUAGUGAGUGCUAAGCAUUUAACCAGAUUCUGUAGCUAUAGUGACAGUAUGGAGGAAUAAUCUCCAUAGCAGGCAAUUGAUGUCUUCACACAGUUUGGAGAGGAAGAUACACAGAAAGAUGAGAAAGAAAGAGAUAGACAGAGGAUCAGAGAGAAGCGCAAUAUCAGAAUAAACGGCAGAUAGUCCUCCACUUACUAUAGUUACACUUCAAUAAAUGAGUUGUUGAAGAAGGAGAAGAAGGAGGAGGAGGAGGAGGAGGAAGAUGAGGAAGAAGAGAAGCUGAUGAUCAUGAAUCAAAACUGCAUCUAACACAGCAUGGUGAUGCAUUGCUACAAUCCUUUAACUCAGGAAGCUGAGAAGGGAAGACUCUGCGUUCAAGGCCAACCUAGGCCAUAUACCAACACUGUCUCCAAAAACUAAUUGUGUUUAAUACACCCAGCCUACCAAGUUGCAUAGCUAAACAACACGUUGCAAUCUGUAGAUUUAUAUCCUUAAAAAUCACUACUACUCCCAGAAGCUGAAAAACAGUAUCACACUGCAUUCUGCUAUCCUGGGAAAAGAUCAAAGUUCAAAAUGCAAAAUACCAUUGCUACCCACAGUAUAUGGCUUUGGCAUCCUCGUAAAAUAAAAUUUUAAAAAAUCAUAUGUUGUAC